rnacentral:rRNA from 1 species
UACAGAGGGUGCAAGCGUUAAUCGGAAUUACUGGGCGUAAAGCGUGCGUAGACGGUCAUGUAAGUCGGGUGUGAAAGCCCCGGGCUCAACCUGGGAAUUGCAUUCGAGACUGCAUGGCUAGGAUGCGGAAGAGGGAAGCGGAAUUUCCGGUGUAGCGGUGAAAUGCGUAGAUAUCGGAAAGAACACCAGUGGCGAAAGCGGCUUCCUGGUCCAGCAUCGACGUUCAGGCACGAAAGCGUGGGGAGCAAACAGG